CCGGGAGUCGCUGCCGCCCACUCGUUCCGUUUCUUGAGCCCGGGGCUUUGUAAAUCAAAUCGUGCUCGGCUUCAUGAAAAAAGUGAGGCGGGUGGAGCGUGACAAUGGGAAGUGGCCAAGAAAUUGUGAGCAGCCGAUCAGAACGCGCUGCUAGUUCAACAGUCUUGUUUGGAUAACCACGUACAGACACAGCUGCAAGUAGCACUAGGUGCCACGGCAUUCAUUGAAAGUACCUUCGGUAUCGUAGCAUGGUGUCGUUGAGCAGCUGGAAAUUCAGAGUUCUGGCAACACAUUAGCAGUCACAUCCCU
rnacentral:lncRNA from 1 species